rnacentral:rRNA from 1 species
CCUACGGGAGGCAGCAGUGGGGAAUAUUGCACAAUUGGGGAAACCCUGAUGCAGCGACGCCGCGUGAGUUAAGAAGUAAUUCGUUAUGUAACGCUCUAUCAGCAGGGAAGAAAAUGACGGUAACUGAGUAAGAAGCCCCGGCUAACUACGUGCCAGCCGCCGCGGUAAUACGUAGGGGGCAAGCGUUAUCCGGAUUUACUGGGUGUAAAGGGAGCGUAGACGGCAGGGCAAGUCUGGAGUGAAAGGCGGGGGCUCAACCCCCGGACUGCUCUGGAAACUGUACGGCUGGAGUGCAGGAGAGGUAAGUGGAAUUCCUAGUGUAGCGGUGAAAGGCGUAGAUAUUAGGAGGAACACCAGGGGCGAAGGCGGCGUACUGGACUGUAACUGACGUUGAGGCUCGAAAGCGUGGGGAGCAAACAGGAUUAGAUACCCGAGUAGUC